GUUCGAGCGUCAUUACAACCCUCAAGCUCUGCUUGGUAUUGGGCACUGCGGGUAACUGCAGGCCUUAAAAUCAGUGGCGGUGCCAUUCGGCUUCAAGCGUAGUAAUUCUUCUCGCUUUGGAGACCCGAGUGGUUACUAGCAUCAACCCCCAAUUUUUUCAGGUUGACCUCGGAUCAGGUAGGGAUACCCGCUGAACUUAA
rnacentral:misc_RNA from 1 species